rnacentral:rRNA from 1 species
CCAAUAGCGUAUAUUAAAGUUGUUGCAGUUAAAAAGCUCGUAGUUGAAUUUCGGGAUCAAUUAAUUGGUCGUGCCUAUGGUACGUACUGAUUUUAUUGGUUUCUCCCUUCUGACGAACCAUCAUGUCAUUAAUUUGGUGUGGUGGAGAAUCAGGACUGUUACUUUGAAAAAAUUAGAGUGUUUAAAGCAAGCUAACGCUUGAAUACAUUAGCAUGGAAUA